rnacentral:rRNA from 1 species
AUUGAACGCUGGCGGCAGGCUUAACACAUGCAAGUCGAGCGAGCGGCGGACGGGUGAGUAAUGUCUGGGAAACUGCCUGAUGGAGGGGGAUAACUACUGGAAACGGUAGCUAAUACCGCAUACCAUCAGAUGUGCCCAGAUGGGAUUAGCGAGUAGGUGGGGUAAUGGCUAACCUAGGCGACGAUCCCUAGCUGGUCUGAGAGGAUGACCAACCACACUGGAACUAAAACACGGUCCAGACUCCUACGGGAGGCAGCAGUGGGGAAUAUUGCACAAUGGGCGCAAGCCUGAUGAAACCAUGCCGCGUGUGUGAAGAAGGACUUCGGGUUGUAAAGCACUUUCAGCGAGGAGGCGUUACUCGCAGAAGAAGCACCGACUAACUACGUGCCAGCAGCCGCGGUAAUUC